rnacentral:rRNA from 1 species
GACGAACGCUGGCGGCGUGCUUAACACAUGCAAGUCGAACGAUGAAGCCUCUUCGGGGGUGGAUUAGUGGCGAACGGGUGAGUAACACGUGGGCAAUCUGCCCUGCACUUUGGGACAAGCCCUGGAAACGGGGUCUAAUACCGAAUAGGACUGCCGGGCGCAUGCUCUGGUGGUGGAAAGUUUCGGCGGUGCAGGAUGAGCCCGCGGCCUAUCAGCUUGUUGGUGGGGUGAUGGCCUACCAAGGCGACGACGGGUAGCCGGCCUGAGAGGGCGACCGGCCACACUGGGACUGAGACACGGCCCAGACUCCUACGGGAGGCAGCAGUGGGGAAUAUUGCACAAUGGGCGGAAGCCUGAUGCAGCGACGCCGCGUGAGGGAUGACGGCCUUCGGGUUGUAAACCUCUUUCAGCAGGGAAGAAGCCUUCAACGGUGACGGUACCUGCAGAAGAAGCACCGGCUAACUACGUGCCAGCCGCCGCCGGUAAUAC